rnacentral:rRNA from 1 species
GACGAACGCUGGCGGCGUGCCUAAUACAUGCAAGUUGAGCGCUGAAGGUUGGUACUUGUACCAACUGGAUGAGCAGCGAACGGGUGAGUAACGCGUGGGGAAUCUGCCUUUGAGCGGGGGACAACAUUUGGAAACGAAUGCUAAUACCGCAUAAAAACUUUAAACACAAGUUUUAAGUUUGAAAGAUGCAAUUGCAUCACUCAAAGAUGAUCCCGCGUUGUAUUAGCUAGUUGGUGAGGUAAAGGCUCACCAAGGCGAUGAUACAUAGCCGACCUGAGAGGGUGAUCGGCCACAUUGGGACUGAGACACGGCCCAAACUCCUACGGGAGGCACCAGUAGGGAAUCUUCGGCAAUGGACGAAAGUCUGACCGAGCAACGCCGCGUGAGUGAAGAAGGGUUUCGGAUCGUAAAACUCUGUUGGUAGAGAAGAACGUUGGUGAGAGUGGAAAGCUCAUCAAGUGACGGUAACUACCCAGAAAGGGACGGCUAACUACGUG